rnacentral:rRNA from 1 species
UUACGACCAUAUCACGUUGAAACAUCGGUUCCCGUACGAUCAACGAAGUUAAGCAACGUCGUGUCGGUCAAUACCUAGAUAGGUGACCGCUUGGGAAUACCAGGUGCUGUAAG